GGCUGUGGCCCUCUUUCUUACAGCCCGGGGGACAUCGCUGGGAACCUGGAGCCCUGAAGCCACCACCAUGUUUGGCAGGAAACGCAGCGUCUCCUUUGGGGGCUUCGGAUGGAUCGACAAGACCAUGCUGGCGAGUCUGAAGGUCAAGAAGCAGGAGCUGGCCAACAGCUCAGAUGUGACCCUCCCAGACCGGCCACUGUCCCCUCCUCUCACUG